rnacentral:rRNA from 1 species
UCGAAGGUAGCAUAAUCAGUAGUCUUUUAAUUGAAGGCUGGUAUGAAUGGUUGGACGAGAUAUUAACUGUUUCAUAAAAAUUUGUAAUAAAAUUUUAUUUUUUAGUGAAAAAGCUAAAAUUUAAUUUAAAGACGAGAAGACCCUAUAAAUCUUUAUAUUUAUUUUGUUAUAAUUUUUUAGAUUUAUUUUAUUGUAAUAAUUGAUAAUAUUUUAUUGGGGUGAUAUUAAAAUUUAUAAAACUUUUAAUUAUUUAAGUCAUUAAUUUAUGUAUAAUUGAUCCAUUAAUAGUGAUUAAAAAUUUAAGUUACUUUAGGGAUAACAGCGUAAUUUUUUUGGAGAGUUCAUAUCAAUAAAAAAGAUUGCGACCUCGAUGUUGGAUUAA